rnacentral:rRNA from 1 species
UGCUACAAGAACACCGAUCGCGAAGGCAGCUUACUAAACCGAUAUUGACGCUCAGGCACGAAAAGCGUGGGGAGCGAACAGGAUUAGAUACCCUGGUAGUCCACGCCGUAAACUAUGAUCACUCGUUGUUGGCAAUACACAGUCAGUGACCAAGCGAAAGCGAUAAGUGAUCCACCUGGGGAGUACGAUCGCAAGGUUGAAACUCAAAGGAAUUGACGGGGGCCCGCACAAGCGGUGGAGCAUGUGGUUUAAUUCGAUGAUACGCGAGGAACCUUACCUGGGCUCAAAUGUAAGUUGACAGUUUCUGAAAGGGAAUUUUCUUCGGACAAUUUACAAGGUGCUGCAUGGUUGUCGUCAGCUCGUGCCGUGAGGUGUCGGGUUAAGUCCCAUAACGAGCGCAACCCCUACUCUUAGUUGCCAUCAGAUAAUGCUGGGGACUCUAGGAGAACUGCCUACGCAAGUAGAGAGGAAGGUGGGGAUGACGUCAAAUCAGCACGGCCCUUACGUCCAGGGCUACACACGUGCUACAAUGGCCGGUACAGAGGGCAGCCACCUGGUGACAGGGAGCGAAUCUCUAAAGCCGGUCUCAGUUCGGAUCGAAGUCUGCAACCCGACUUCGUGAAGCUGGAAUCGCUAGUAAUCGCGCAUCAGCCAUGGCGCGGUGAAUACGUUCCCGGGCCUUGUACACACCGCCCGUCAAGCCAUGGAAGCUGGGGGUACCUGAAGUCGGUGACCAUUUAGGAGCCGCCUAGGGUAAAACUAGUGACUGGGGCUAAGUCGUAACAAGGUA